GGGGUCUCGUGGCGUGAGAAGCUCGGAGUGGUCAGAACAGAAACCCCAGGAGCAGUCUGCUCACUCAGCGUUAUUAUCAUGGUUUCGAGGUGUCUGUCUGGAUCAUUUUGUCCGUCUUAGGCUGGGAACCUCUAGGGGACAGAACUGGGCCCACACUCAGUGCUGCCUGAGCUCCAUCAGGCACGAAGGGAGCGACAGGUAAGAUGUCUGACUCCUGAAAGAUGAACAGGUCGGAGAGACGUGUGUUUACGUGGUCCAGCUCUGCGUGAAGCAGUCCUGGAGCACUUCCAGCAUGCCAUCACAUGGAAUCCAGCCUCUGCCUGAAACGCUUGCGCCUGAAGGCACGCAUCCAGAGCUCGGCUGGAGCUGGAGGUGGAGGCGGAGGGAAGGGGACGAGAGGAACUGACAGACGGAGUCACUCGGCGAAGGCAGGCCUGCGUUUCUGGAGCCAAUGGACGACGAGAGGGAAGGAAGAAGGGAGACCACCAGGGGCCAUGGACGUGGGCUACACCGGAUGAAAGAAAGACCCUACACUUGGGAAUCAGUCAAACCUGGACUCCACACUCGAAUGGACCACUAAUACCCUGCGUGAGCUUAGACAGGUCAUUUCAUCUCUUUGAGCCUGUUUUGUCAAUUGCAAAUAGGAAAUAAUCCCUGUACUUUAGGGUUCUGGCGCUCAAGUGAGACAGCACGUGGAACAGCACUUGGCCCAGAGCAGGCGAUCAAGACCUGUCAGAGCCUCCUCCUUUCAGUCUGCCCCAGCCUUGCCACCCGCAGUUGGAAAUCUCUGCUCUACAGGUGAAGAAACUGAGGCUCAGAGACGUUAAGUGACAUGUUGGCCCCGGGUCUCGCCGCUGGGAAGGGGCAGGACGGAACUGAACCCGGGACGUGGCCGGCAGGAGAAUCUGCUGCUGCCCUGGGCGGCUCCCAGUUCUCAGGAAGAAGCAAGUAAGCAAUCUGGGCUGGAAACCCUCUCCCUGCCGUGGCCUGAGAACCCGUCCGGAGCAGUGUUACUCGCGCAUAAUGCUCCUCUGGGGACAAAUUAUAGCCGCAUGAGAAGGAUCCCUUUUCGAUUCCCAGGGUAUAGAUUUUCAGAGUGAUCCCGGCAACUUUGCAUGACCUUUCCAGCAUCCAGAGUGCGUUCAGAUAUAUCAGCCAUUCUCAGAGUCUGGUCUGGGGAUCCUUGAGUGCCCCUGCGACCCUUUCAGGGGGUCGUCAAGACAAAACUAUUUUCAUAAUAAUGCCAAGACGUCAUUUACCCGUUUAAGCUCUCAUUUUUCUCACGCAAGUACAGACUGAAUGCUGAAGCGGACAUGAGAAUGUACCGUCUCUGUUAAGCCAGGCGUUCAAGGGAUUUGCAGAACUAAAACAAUGCCUCUCUUCUCUCUAGCCUUGUUCUCGAGAAUAUAGGGAUAGCUCAUAGAGCAAGUAGGUUUUUAUGCUACCAGAUAAGGGUGUAUUACUGUUCAUUUUAAACGAGUUAAAUGUUUUUUAACUUCCCAGCUUUAAUGUGUAACAUGGUAAACAUCGAUAACUAUUACACACUGAAACGGAAGUUUAUUUGGGUUCUUCACCAAUUUGAAGAGUGUAGAAGGGUCCUGAAACGGGAAGUCCUGAGAGCUGCCCACAUGCACCCCCACUUAACCCCCACGAUGGCACGGGCACACUGUCCUGCCUCCCUCUCAGCCUGCGGCAGGCAGGGCCGGUUCCGCCCCUCAGCGCCAUGGCUCCUUGCACGAGGAGCCUGGGACGGUCCCCAGAAGGACCGGUUGAGGGGAAGGCAGCUGACGACUCUGGGGCCACAGUGAACCAGGUCAGUGGAGUGGCUAGAGGGGCACUUCCUGGUGGCUUCAGCCUCUCCCAGCUUCUAGAGGCUCUGCCCACCUUGGCUUCCAUGACACCACGUUUCCAGUUCUGCAAAUGGCUCCUCUGCUCUCUUCCCCUUGAGUGUUGCUAUUACCAGCAUCCCCUCCUCGGCCCUCUUCUGGUCUCACUCUCCGAUGUCCCCGGAUAAGCUUGUCCACACCUCAUGUGUGACGGUUCCCAGGCUCUCCAGCUCAGACCCUUCUCUUCAGUGUCAAAGCUAAGUACUGGGUGUGUCUACCCGGACAUCAGAUGUUUAAACCCGCAUGCUCAAACUGCCCAAUCCCUGGGCAUCCGGUACAUUGUACGAGUCACAGGUGAUGUGCCAGCGAACAGCACGGAAGUCCCUGUCCUCAAGGGAAAAUCAACACCGUCUAGCAGAGAUGAUCAGUCCCAAGGCAACCUUUAUAUUUGGGGGUCUGGUGAUUAUUCUCACCAUCAGCCCGAUCGCCCAACACCCCUUCUUCCCUGUCUGCUCCAGCCAGCCCGUCACCGAGUCCUCGUGCGUCUGUCUUCUCAUGUCCUGUCACCACGACGGCAGCACCCUCAGACCAAAGCUGGGUGUGAACUCUCUCAGUGAUCCCGUGGCCACUCUCCCGGACUCCUGUCUCAUCCCGUCCUCAUUCACACAUCGAUCGCCUCGCUCCCCGAGUGGCCCUUUCACAGCCCCAGAUCUCCGUCUUUACUGCCUAGGCUCGGUAAUGGCUCCCUCUUCUCUGUAAAAUAACAUCCAGACCCAUGAGCUUUGUAAGCUUCCUCAGGAAUUGACCUUUGUUUCAUUUUCUGUCGCUCCUCUGAAUGUAUCCAGUGCAUUUCAAAAGAUG